GGGCGACGUCGUUUCUUAUGCUCCCUUCAAUAAUCGCCAUCGCGGAUAUACUGAUCUCAACAAGACUCUUGUUGUACCAAAUGGGCAUGUUUGGGUUGAAGGGGAUUAUUUGCUCGACAGUAGUUCCUUACGGGUAUCUACGCUAUAGAGUGUUUGCUGUGUUGGAUCAUAAUCAGAAUCAGAGACGGAACUACAUAGUGCCAAGCCCCCGCCGGGGCUUGGCCGGCACCAAAUGCUGAUAACCCCUUACACGUCUUUCCUCCGACCAGUCUCCGCCCCAGAGAGGGCCAGCCGUUUAGUGUUCAGACUUGAGCGCCGCCUAUACUCUGAAUCUGAAAAUUGAAAAAUGAAGGAGGAGAAGACUUGGGCUUAAUAGUUUUGGGUUAUUUAUUUAAUUGUUGGGCUACUGUUUAAUUUUGGGCUAUAAUACCCUUUAUAUACUUCCGUCUUUUUAGUUAUAUAAACUUAUCUUCU